GACGAACGCUGGCGGCGUGCUUAACACAUGCAAGUCGAGCGGUAAGGCUCCUUCGGGAGUACACGAGCGGCGAACGGGUGAGUAACACGUGAGCAACCUGCCCUUCUCAUCGGAAUAAGCGUUGGAAACGACGUCUAAUGCCGAAUAUGACAACGGAUCGCAUGAUCUGUUGUGGAAAGCUCCGGCGGAGAGGGAUGGGCUCGCGGCCUAUCAGCUUGUUGGGGGGGUAACGGCCCACCAAGGCGACGACGGGUAGCCGGCCUGAGAGGGUGACCGGCCACACUGGGACUGAGACACGGCCCAGACUCCUACGGGAGGCAGCAGUGGGGAAUAUUGGACAAUGGGCGCAAGCCUGAUCCAGCAACGCCGCGUGAGGGAUGACGGCCUUCGGGUUGUAAACCUCUUUCAGCAGGGACGAAGCGAAAGUGACGGUACCUGCAGAAGAAGGACCGACCAACUACGUGCCAGCCGCCGCAGUAAUAC
rnacentral:rRNA from 1 species